CUACGGGGGGCUGCAGUCGCGAAUCUUUUGCAAUGCGCGCAAGCGUGACAAAGCGAACCUAAGUGAUUUCCGCACAGGAAAUCUUUUCUUCACUUUAAAAAGGUGGAGGAAUAAGGACUGGGUAAGACCGGUGCCAGCCGCCGCGGUAAUCCCGGCAGUCCAAGUUGCAUCCAACAUUAUUGGGUCUAACAUCCGUAGCUUGUUUGUUAAGUUUCUUGUGAAAUUCUACAUCUCAAGGGUAGAGCGCGCAAGAAAUACUGACAGACUAGAGACCGGUAGGUGUAAUGAGUACGUCGGGGGUAGUGGUAAAAUACGUUAAUCUUCGAUGGACUAACAAUCAGCGAAGGCACAUUACAAGGACGGAUCUGACAGUGAGGGAUGAAGGCUAGGGGCGCAAAACGGAUUAGAUACCCCAGUAGUC
rnacentral:rRNA from 1 species